rnacentral:rRNA from 1 species
UACGGAGGAUGCGAGCGUUAUCCGGAUUUAUUGGGUUUAAAGGGUGCGUAGGCGGGCUGUUAAGUCAGCGGUCAAAUGUCGGGGCUCAACCCCGGCCUGCCGUUGAAACUGGCGGCCUCGAGUGGGCGAGAAGUAUGCGGAAUGCGUGGUGUAGCGGUGAAAUGCAUAGAUAUCACGCAGAACUCCGAUCGCGAAGGCAGCAUACCGGCGCCCGACUGACGCUGAGGCACGAAAGCGUGGGUAUCGAACAGG